CCGGUGUAGCGGUGGAAUGCGUAGAUAUCGGGAGGAACACCAGUGGCGAAGGCGGCCUACUGGGCACCAACUGACGCUGAGGCUCGAAAGUGUGGGUAGCAAACAGGAUUAGAUACCCUGGUAGUCCACACCGUAAACGAUGAUUACUAGGUGUUGGAGGAUUGACCCCUUCAGUGCCGCAGUUAACACAAUAAGUAAUCCACCUGGGGAGUACGACCGCAAGGUUGAAACUCAAAGGAAUUGACGGGGGCCCGCACAAGCAGUGGAGUAUGUGGUUUAAUUCGACGCAACGCGAAGAACCUUACCAAGUCUUGACAUCCCUUGACAGGCAUAGAAAUAUGUUUUCUCUUCGGAGCAAGGAGACAGGUGGUGCAUGGUUGUCGUCAGCUCGUGUCGUGAGAUGUUGGGUUAAGUCCCGCAACGAGCGCAACCCUUAUUGUUAGUUGCUACGCAAGAGCACUCUAGCGAGACUGCCGUUGACAAAACGGAGGAAGGUGGGGAUGACGUCAAAUCAUCAUGCCCUUUAUGACUUGGGCUACACACGUACUACAAUGGCGUUAAACAAAGAGAAGCAAGACCGCGAGGUGGAGCAAAACUCAGAAACAACGUCCCAGUUCGGACUGCAGGCUGCAACUCGCCUGCACGAAGUCGGAAUUGCUAGUAAUCGCAGAUCAGCAUGCUGCGGUGAAUACGUUCCCGGGCCUUGUACACACCGCCCGUCAC
rnacentral:rRNA from 1 species